rfam:Streptomyces coelicolor A3(2) complete genome
ACCCCGGGCCGUGACUGGCGCGCUGGGAUGGGACGAACCAUCGGGAAGCGGCCCCGGAAACACCGAGAGCCGUGCGCCUGGGCCAUCCGU